GACGAACGCUGGCGGCGUGCUUAACACAUGCAAGUCGAACGGAAAGGCCCUGCUUUUGUGGGGUGCUCGAGUGGCGAACGGGUGAGUAACACGUGAGUAACCUGCCCUUGACUUUGGGAUAACUUCAGGAAACUGGGGCUAAUACCGGAUAGGAGCUCCUGCUGCAUGGUGGGGGUUGGAAAGUUUCGGCGGUUGGGGAUGGACUCGCGGCUUAUCAGCUUGUUGGUGGGGUAGUGGCUUACCAAGGCUUUGACGGGUAGCCGGCCUGAGAGGGUGAACGGCCACAUUGGGACUGAGAUACGGCCCAGACUCCUACGGGAGGCAGCAGUGGGGAAUAUUGCACAAUGGGCGGAAGCCUGAUGCAGCAAAGCCGCGUGCGGGAUGACGGCCUUCGGGUUGUAAACCGCUUUCGCCUGUGACGAAGCGUGAGUGACGGUAAUGGGUAAAGAAGCACCGGCUAACUACGUGCCAGCCGCCGCGGUAA
rnacentral:rRNA from 1 species